rnacentral:lncRNA from 1 species
CUUGAUUUCAUUCUAUAUUAUCUUAUUUUUUUUGUUAUUAAUGUUAAGUUACGGCUAGUCUUUUGGAUUCUAUGAAUCAUAUUGUAUCGUUUCUUUGUUUUAUUUUUUGCCAAGGAAACUUUGUAAUGGGUGAAAGCCCUGUUUUCAUAUUUAUAUGAUAUUUGCAUUUUAUCAAAAAAAAAAAAUGUUAAGUUACGUAAGUCUAUAUAGUUUAUGGAGGACAUGUGUAUUUUUCCACUUUUCAACUUAGUUGCUAAGUUUGGAGAAAGAACAUUACAAUUCCCCAAAAAAAUAUCAAAACCUG